UAUCAACACUAGUUUAUGCUAGUUUAUACUGUAUGAUUAUACAGAUUAAUAGGCAGAACAAAACAAAAAAGGUGAUUUCUACAGUCAUCGUUGCCGAUUCAGCAUCAGUAGGCAGAUCAACAAACGAAGGCAAUAGAGGAGGGGGAACCUGUUCCCUUUUAUAAUUCCUAAUUGCAUUGCCUUCCCACGGUCCGAAAAAGGUCAGUGGACGUGGUAAAAUUGACCAGAUGGAAAUCAACAAAUAGCCUUCGUUACAAUCAAUUUCGCUAGCGAGAGAGAGGAGGGAAAAGGGGGACGGAAUGAAAAUACUUUCCAACAGCAAGGCUGAGAAGGGUAGCCAUACACAAAACACAAUGUUUGUAAUAUUAGUCACAUCAUCUGAACAGCACGUAGGGGAAAAGACAGCGAGAAAACAAGUGCGGAUCUGCUCUAAUUCACAGACCACUCUUGUGGGAUUUCUGUCUUCUUCUAUAACGGUGCCACAAGCAGAAGACGGAGAUGAAGUAGCAGUCACCUGUCAUAUCCCUUGGUGGAUCCAGCUUUUGACUGAGCAGUGCUAACCAUUAUUUUGAAGUGCUUGUAGUGAUAUUUUCUAUAUCAGCAGCUCUACUUGUAACAGAUAGAUCAGAUAACCA